GGAGGAUCCAAGCGUUAUCCGGAAUCAUUGGGUUUAAAGGGUCCGUAGGCGGUUUUAUAAGUCAGUGGUGAAAGCCCAUCGCUCAACGGUGGAACGGCCAUUGAUACUGUAGAACUUGAAUGAUUAAGAAGUAACUAGAAUAUGUAGUGUAGCGGUGAAAUGCUUAGAGAUUACAUGGAAUACCAAUUGCGAAGGCAGGUUACUAUUAAUUGAUUGACGCUGAUGGACGAAAGCGUGGGGAGCGAAC
rnacentral:rRNA from 1 species